AUUGAACGCUGGCGGCCGGCCUAACACAUGCAAGUCGAGCGAGCGGCAGACGGGUGAGUAAUGUAUGGGGACUGCCCGAUCGAGGGGGAUAACUACUGGAAACGGUGGCUAAUACCGCAUACUCACGGAGACCCCAUAGGGGAUUAGCUAGUAGGUGGGGUAAAGGCGCACCUAGGCGACGAUCUCUAGCUGGUCUGAGAGGAUGAUCAGCCACACUGGGACUGAGACACGGCCCAGACUCUGAGGGAGGCAGCAGGGGGGAAUAGUGCACAAUGGGCGCAAGACUGAUGCAGGCAUGCGGGGUUGAUGAAGAAGGCCUUAGGGUUGUAUAGUAGUUUCAGCGGGGAGGCGUUACCCGCAGAAGAAGCACCGGAGAACCCCGUGCCAGCAGCCGCGGGAAUA
rnacentral:rRNA from 1 species